rnacentral:rRNA from 1 species
UACGGAGGGUGCAAGCGUUAUCCGGAUUCACUGGGUUUAAAGGGUGCGUAGGUGGGUCUGUAAGUCCGUGGUGAAAUCUCCGAGCUUAACUUGGAAACUGCCAUGGAUACUAUAGGUCUUGAAUACUGUGGAGGUCAGCGGAAUAUGUCAUGUAGCGGUGAAAUGCUUAGAUAUGACAUAGAACACCAAUUGCGAAGGCAGCUGGCUACACAAAUAUUGACACUGAGGCACGAAAGCGUGGGGAGUCAAACAGGA